CAGCCCUUUGUCGCUAAGAUUCGAC
rnacentral:sRNA from 1 species